AAAAUUCUUCGGGGCAGGGUGAUAUGCAUAAAGCAUAAAUUCCCAACCGACGGUAAGUGUUCAGAGCGUAAAGAUGCACGAGUCCGUGACCUGCGAAAGCAGCUGAUUUGGUGAGAAUCCAAAACCGACAGUAUAGUCUGGAUGGGAGAAGAAUAGA
rnacentral:ncRNA from 2 species